rnacentral:rRNA from 1 species
GGAGGGAGCGAGCGUUGUUCGGAAUCACUGGGCGUAAAGGGCGCGUAGGCGGCCGAGUAAGUCGUGUGUGAAAGACCGGGGCUCAACUCCGUGUACUGCAUGCGAUACUGCCCGGCUGGAGAAAGGUAGAGGCGAGUGGAAUUCCCGGUGUAGCGGUGGAAUGCGUAGAUAUCGGGAGGAACACCUGUGGCGAAGGCGGCUCGCUGGGCCUUUUCUGACGCUGAAGUGCGAAAGCGUGGGGAGCAAACAGGAUUAGAUACCCUGGUAGUCCACGCCGUAAACGAUGGGCACUAGGCGUUGGGAGGAUUGACCCUCUCAGUGCCGUAGCUAACGCGUUAAGUGCCCCCGCCUGGGGAGUACGGCCGCAAGGCUG